CCUGGCUCAGAUUGAACGCUGGCGGCAGGCCUAACACAUGCAAGUCGAGCGGAAACGGCAGCAUUGAAGCUUCGGUGGAUUUGCUGGACGUCGAGCGGCGGACGGGUGAGUAACGGCUGGGAACCUGCCCUGACGCGGGGGAUAACCGUUGGAAACGACGGCUAAUACCGCAUAAUGUCUUAGUUCAUUACGAGCUGGGACCAAAGGUGGCCUCUACAUGUAAGCUAUCGCGUUGGGAUGGGCCCAGUUAGGAUUAGCUAGUUGGUAAGGUAAUGGCUUACCAAGGCGACGAUCCUUAGCUGGUUUGAGAGGAUGAUCAGCCACACUGGGACUGAGACACGGCCCAGACUCCUACGGGAGGCAGCAGUGGGGAAUAUUGCACAAUGGGGGAGACCCUGAUGCAGCCAUGCCGCGUGUGUGAAGAAGGCCUUCGGGUUGUAAAGCACUUUCAGCAGUGAGGAAGGUGGUGUACUUAAUACGUGCACGGCUUGACGUUAGCUGCAGAAGAAGCACCGGCUAACUCCGUGCCAGCAGCCGCGGUAAUACGGAGGGUGCGAGCGUUAAUCGGAAUUACUGGGCGUAAAGCGCAUGCAGGCGGUUUGUUAAGUCAGAUGUGAAAGCCCGGGGCCCAACCUCGGAACCGCAUUUGAAACUGGCAGGCUAGAGUCUUGUAGAGGGGGGUAGAAUUUCAGGUGUAGCGGUGAAAUGCGUAGAGAUCUGAAGGAAUACCAGUGGCGAAGGCGGCCCCCUGGACAAAGACUGACGCUCAGAUGCGAAAGCGUGGG
rnacentral:rRNA from 1 species